GAUGAACGCUGGCGGCGUGCCUAAUACAUGCAAGUCGAGCGAACAGACGAGGAGCUUGCUCCUCUGACGUUAGCGGCGGACGGGUGAGUAACGCGUGGAUAACCUACCUAUAAGACUGGGAUAACUUCGGGAAACCGGAGCUAAUACCGGAUAAUAUAUUGAACCGCAUGGUUCAAUAGUGAAAGACGGUUUUGCUGUCACUUAUAGAUGGAUCCGCGCCGCAUUAGCUAGUUGGUAAGGUAACGGCUUACCAAGGCAACGAUGCGUAGCUGACCUGAGAGGGUGAUCGGCCACACUGGAACUGAGACACGGUCCAGACUCCUACGGGAGGCAGCAGUAGGGAAUCUUCCGCAAUGGGCGAAAGCCUGACGGAGCAACGCCGCGUGAGUGAUGAAGGUCUUCGGAUCGUAAAACUCUGUUAUUAGGGAAGAACAAAUGUGUAAGUAACUAUGCACGUCUUGACGGUACCUAAUCAGAAAGCCACGGCUAACUACGUG
rnacentral:rRNA from 1 species